rfam:Macaca mulatta 1099214716983, whole genome shotgun sequence.
UAGGGCUAGUGGAAGACCUAAGAUGGCGGCGUUUGUACGGGGUGCAACCGCUGCGGUUGCAAGGCGUCCGAAGUAUGUGAGUCCACUAACAAAGUCCAGAAACUCGCCAGUUAAUAGUAUUGUGG